rnacentral:rRNA from 1 species
UAUGUGAUCGUCUCUCGCAUAUCAAUAAGCGGAGGAAAAGAAACUAACAAGGAUUCCCCUAGUAACGGCGAGUGAAGCGGGAAGAGCUCAAAUUUGAAAUCUUAAAGGGUUUCCCUUUACGAAUUGUAGUUUAAAGAAGUGUUUUCUGUUGAGGUUUUGGUAAAAGUUCUUUGGAAUAGGACAUCAUAGAGGGUGAGAAUCCCGUAUUUGACCUUUACUUUCAACUUUGUGAUACACUUUCAAAGAGUCGGAUUGUUUGGGAAUGCAGUCCAAAAUGGGUGGUAAAUUUCAUCUAAAGCUAAAUAUUGGCGAGAGACCGAUAGCGAACAAGUACCGUGAGGGAAAGAUGAAAAGAACUUUGAAAAGAGAGUUAAACAGUACGUGAAAUUGUCAAAAGGGAAGCGUUUGACACCAGUGUUGUUUUUCUGAAAAUCAAUUAAAGAACUGUUUAUGCUAAGCUUGUUUAGACUUUAUCAGCUAAUCUGCUUAGUUUUGAGCUUUUCUUUAAUGCACUUUUCAGUUAACAAGUCAACAUCAAUUUCUUUUGCUGUAAAAAAGCUUGAGGAAGGUGGCUUGAGAUUCGUCUUAAGUGUUUAUAGCCUCUUGCCUAUGCAGUCGGAGAGAUUGAGGUCUGCAGCGUAGAUCCUUCGGGGCUAAAUGCAUUUGUGCUAAGUUAUAGCAUUUUAUAGACAACUUGUUGACUAUGAUUUGUCUUGUAGCUUACUCGCUUAUGUUAUUUUACCUACGCUUAGGAUGUUGAGUAGCGACAUACGCAC